CACCCCGGCAGCCCGGUCCCCCUGCACGCCUACGAAGCUGUUUCCCCUGCUAUGAUGCCAGGGCAGAUCCCCGACCCGUCCCUGACGGCUGGUGCGCUGCCUGGGCUCGGCCCUUUGACAGGACUGCCUGGCACAGCCCUGACUGCCGAGGAGCUGAAGUGCGCCGACAUCCGCAACAUCGGGGCCAUGAUCUCGCCGCUCCACUUCCUGGAGGUGAAGCUUGGGAAGAGACCCCAGCCUGUGAAAAGUGAGCUGGAUGAGGAAGAGGAGAGGAGGAAAAGGCGCCGGGAGAAAAACAAGGUAGCAGCAGCACGAUGUCGUAACAAGAAGAAGGAGAGGACGGAGUUCCUGCAGCGGGAGUCUGAGCGUCUAGAGCUCAUGAAUGCUGAACUGAAGGCCCAGAUAGAAGAGCUGAAACAGGAGAGGCAGCAGCUGAUCCUGAUGCUAAACCGGCACCGUCCCACCUGCAUCGUGCGGACAGACAGCAUCAAGACUCCCGAGAGUGAAGCUAACCCACUGCUGGAGCAGCUAGAGAAGAAGUGAAGGUGGCACUGGGCCAGGAGGAGGAGACAGUGGCGCAGGGUGUUCCAGGGUCUCUAAUGUAUGUACUGUAUGAAGAACUGUGCACCCAGACCUGGUGCGGACCCAGUGAGGACCCAGUGGGCUUCCUUGGGAACUAUGGACCAAAUAUGGGGACAGAACCUGCCAACCAUGUACUCUGAGGCUGAACCUGGGAGCAGGGCUAGUGGCACCAGUGAGGGAAACCUCCCUGUGAUACCUCACCGCAGCCCUGGGGACCCACGAUGCCACAUGUCCUGCAAGGACCACACACCCCGUGGGUAGCAGGGGCAGCAGGCAGAGGAGUGGCAGCUGCACGGUGCCCACUAGCACCCUGCCCAGAGGCUGCUGCUGCUCCUGGAGCAUGCUCCAGCAGGAAACCCAAACCCAAGAACCACAAACACUUGAUGCAGCCCCGUCUGGUGGGCAGGCCUGUCGGGGCUUGGUGGCGCAGGCGCCCCUCACAAGCACACUCAGUAUAAUGUUUACAGCCCAGCUGUCCGUGUCGGCCGUGCUUUUGAAUGCACAUUUUUACACUUUUUUAAAGUAUUUUUUACAAAGUUUUUAUACAGCAAUCUCUAUAAGGAUUUAUAUAAUCACUAGACGUGAUCCCAUAGAAAUGUCCCUCUGCUUCUGAGAUACUUGAGGUGCCUCAACAACCAGGACCACCAGCAGGAACUCCUGAUGUGCCAAACACCUCAUCUAGCACAUGCCUAUCUCCUGUUUUGUGAGAUCUAUGCUCAGGUCAUAACCCUUGUGCUCCUUCCCACACUCCCUAGUUCAGACCAGAGCUCUCCCCAGGGUGAUGUGGUACAAUAUUUUUCCUGAAUCCCAAGCAGGGAUAACUCCACCCCCAACCCUGAACCUGAAAAGGUGGCUGAGAAGAUAGAUUAAUUAAUAACCC